rnacentral:rRNA from 1 species
AUUGAACGCUGGCGGCAGGCCUAACACAUGCAAGUCGAGCGAGCGGCGGACGGGUGAGUAAUGUAUGGGGACUGCCCGAUAGAGGGGGAUAACUACUGGAAACGGUAGCUAAUACCGCAUACUAUCGGAUAACCCAUAUGGGAUUAGCUAGUAGGUGAGGUAAUGGCUCACCUAGGCGACGAUCCCUAGCUGGUCUGAGAGGAUGAUCAGGAAAACUGGGACUGAGACACGGCCGAGACACCUACGGAGGCAGCAGGGGGGAAUAUUGCACAAUGGGCACAAGCCUGAUGCAGCCAUGCCGCGUGAAGGAAGAAGGCCCUAGGGUGGUAAAGUACUGUCAGAGGGGAGGCGUUACCGACAGAAGAAGCACCGGCGAACUCCGUGCCAGCAGACGCGGUAAUUC